AAGUAUAUUGUUACUGUGCUUUGGGAUUAAAAUAAGUAACUACAGUUUAUAGAACUUGUAUACUGAUACACAGACGCUAAAAAGGGAAAGGGUUUAGAUGAGAAGCUCUGCUAUGCAAUCAAGAAUCUCAGCCACUCAUUUCUGUAGGGGCUGCAGGAGCUCCCUGUAAAGAGAGGUUAUGGAGUCUGUAGCUUCAGCAACCACUGAUCCACUUCCAGUCACUAUCCAUGAGUUUUUAUUUCCAAAUACAUGAAAUCAUAGGAAUUUCUGGUUUUUCCUGUUGGAGCCCAAGGAGCAAGGGCAGAAUGAGGAACAUGAU
rnacentral:lncRNA from 1 species